CCUACGGGUGGCAGCAGUGGGGAAUAUUGCGCAAUGGGCGAAAGCCUGACGCAGCGACGCCGCGUGAGGGAUGAAGGUCUUCGGAUUGUAAAGCUCUUUGAUCAGGGACGAACAGAUGACGGUACCUGAAGAACAAGCCCCGGCUAACUACGUGCCAGCAGCCGCGGUAAAACGUAGGGGGCGAGCGUUGUCCGGAAUGACUGGGCGUAAAGGGUGCGUAGGCGGCAUAAUAAGUUAGAAGUGAAAUACCCAGAGCUUAACUCGGGUGCUGCUUCUAAGACUGUUGAGCUUGAGUGCGGGAGAGGGUAAUGGAAUUCCUAGUGUAGCGGUGGAAUGCGUAGAUAGUAGGAGGAACACCAGAGGAGAAGGCGAUUAACUGGACCGUAACUGACGCUGAGGCACGAAAGUGUGGGUAGCAAACAGGAUUAGAUACCCGAGUAGUC
rnacentral:rRNA from 1 species